GAUCAUUACAGAAUCGGUGACCCUUGCGGUCCCAUUCUCACCCUUUGUAUACCAAACUUAGUUGCUUUGGCUGGCCCUCGCGGCUGGCCAGAGGACACAAACCCUUGAAUCUUUGCUGUCUGAGUACUAUAUAAUAGUUAAAACUUUCAACAACGGAUCUCUUGGUUCUGGCAUCGAUGAAGAACGCAGCGAAAUGCGAUAAGUAAUGUGAAUUGCAGAAUUCAGUGAAUCAUCGAAUCUUUGAACGCACAUUGCGCCCUCUGGUAUUCCGGGGGGCAUGCCUGUUCGAGCGUCAUUACAACCCUCAAGCUCAGCUUGGUAUUGGGCUCGCCUUUUAUAGGCCUGCCUCAAAAUCAGUGGCGGCUCCGUCCAGUCUCAAGCGCAGUAAUACUCGUCGCUUGUUAGGCUUGGUCGGCGGCCUGCUAACAACCCCCACUUUUACAAGGUUGACCUCGGAUCAGGUAGGGAUACCCGCUGAACUUAAGCAUAUCAAUAAGCGGAGGAAAAGAAACCAACAGGGAUUGCCUCAGUAACGGCGAGUGAAGCGGCAACAGCUCAAAUUUGAAAGCUGGUACUUUUAGUGCCCGCGUUGUAAUUUGUAGAGGAUGUUUCGGGCGCGGUGCCGGUCUAAGUUCUUUGGAACAAGACGUCAUAGAGGGUGAGAAUCCCGUAUGUGACUGGUUGCCUGUGCCCAUGUGAAACUCCUUCGACGAGUCGAGUAGUUUGGGAAUGCUGCUCAAAAUGGGAGGUGUAUUUCUUCUAAAGCUAAAUAUUGGCCAGAGACCGAUAGCGCACAAGUAGAGUGAUCGAAAGAUGAAAAGCACUUUGGAAAGAGAGUUAAACAGUACGUGAAAUUGUUGAAAGGGAAGCGCUUGCAAUCAGACUUGCGCGGCGUCGAUCAACCUGGGUUUUCCCUGGUGUACUCGGCGUCGCUCAGGCCAGCAUCAGUUUCGACGGUGGGAUAAAGGCUUAGGGAACGUGGGUUGCUUCGGUGACCGUUAUAGCCCUAGGUGCAAUGCCGCCUGUCGGGACUGAGGACCGC
rnacentral:rRNA from 1 species